rnacentral:ncRNA from 2 species
GAAGAAUGUCUAUUACAGAUCCUAAUUGAAGUAGCGAUUAUCCAGGCUUGUAUCCUGGGGGCUGAUGAGGAGUAGGGUUUCUGGACAACUUAAACAGAUCCAGAGUUAGUCGAUCCUAAUCUCAAUAAUGGGAGAAAGGGAGUACAGUUGAUAUUCUGUAACUGACAACAGUUCGCGGCAACGCAUACUAUUUUUCUCCGCCAAUCUUAUACCGUUGGUAGGGAUCUCUUUCCUACAUGACAGUACUAAUACCCAGGGAAACUGGUCAUCAGGCGAACUGCGGCGUUCUGCUGGCAAAACAUAGCUUCGGUUAUGUCAAUGGCUAUUGGAUUGGUCCAUGAAGCGAAAAAUAGUUUACUGUGUCACUCGUACCGAUAACCGCAUCAGGUCUUCUAGGUAAGUAGCCUAUGGCCAUUGAGGCAUGAUAGUUCAGGGAAUUCGGCCAAUUAGAGCUGUAACUUCGGGAUAAAGCUUGGCUCUGAUGAAAAUCAGAACCGAUUGUUACGCGGAGAGCCCAACUGUUUAAUAAAAACGUAGUGUCGCGCUGUGGUAGUAUAGCCAGUGAACGCGACAUGAAUCCUGCUCAGUGCUGUGUCUGUUAAUAUGGUUCAAGCCAACGAAGCACCGGUAAAUAGCUGGGGUAACUAUGACUCUUAUCAAAGUAGCGAAAUACCUCGUCACUUAAUUAGUGACCUGCAUGAACGGAGCUAUGAGGUUCUCACUGUCCCAAACUGUCUCUCAGCGAACCAACUGUAGUGGGAACGGUCACUAGAUAUCCAGCGGGGAAAGAAGACCCUGUAGAGCUUCACUUUGGUCUAGUCUUGUAUAGUUCCUGCGGGGGUGUAGACUAGGUGGGAGAGCUAAUCGAUUCUGAAAAACCACUACCCUGUUUGGAAUUAUGCUUACCUAUCACAAGGAAUAGGACUAGAUAGAAAGUUUGGCUGGGGCGGCACACCUUCGAAAGAGCAGCGAAGGUGUCCUAAGUUGAGCUCAGUGAGG